rnacentral:tRNA from 1 species
UGUGGGAAAGUUUGUUAAAUGUCAGUUUGUGGGGCUGAAGUGGCCAAAAGGCUCCUACAA